rnacentral:lncRNA from 1 species
GGGAAAUAAAUAACACUGAUUUCAGUUUACCUGGAAAAUAACACUGACUCCAGUUUACCUGCACCUGAGCUUUGUUUUGAGAGCUCCUCUGAUCUACAUAAACAUGUUGAAACACAGAGUGAUUCAGGUGCCUACAGCUGUGAUGUUGGAGGAUGUGGUUUCAUUUCAUGGACUUCACCAACUUUGAGACAGCACUGCAAGACAGGCUUUUACAACUGUGAAAAUCUUGUCACUGAUGCUGUUAGAAGAAAUUUUUUUAGCCCUGCAAGUUGAAUCCACAGAAGAGAGUACAGAAAUAUAUGAAUGGCUUCUGCAGUUUAAACAAGCUGUUCCUUCCAUUUUGGGAUGAGAAAAUCCAACAAAUAAAAUAUUAAUAUGAAUAUCUAUCUCCUAAUUU